rnacentral:lncRNA from 1 species
GUCUGCUUGGUUUUGGUUAUCUUAGCUGUAAUAAAUAGACCUGGGACCCCCGAAGGCACACCCCACACACUUAUGCUGUGUGACCUAAGGUCACAAGUAAUGGCUGCAAGCUAAUUGAUUGAGAAAGGCUUGUCUGGAGGGGCCUCUUUGCGUCCUCCCUUUACAUUCCUAAGUUCUGUGAAAGAGGCACUAGCGGCUCAGACUGGCAAGGAAGGAAAAAAAGAGAGGAAGUUUCUCUGCGUUCUGAUUACAUUUGAGUUCCCUGUAGUGAGCUUAACUUCUCUCCACCCACUUCUUACCAAGAACUCUCUCACUUGAAGGUGAACAACUUAAAGCCUGAGCUCAGAGAGUUACCCGAAAAGUGAUUUGAGUAUUUAUUGAACUGAAAGAACAAAUUACCUACUUCAGGCGGUGGGAAGCGUAUGGAAAUUAUAUUAGAACUUCAGCAAAGUGCACAGCCGCAUAACACAGAAGCCGAGACUCAGAUUGACAGGCAAAUAAGCCAGCUCGUGGAAGGGGCCUCUGGGUGGCAGCUCUGGGCUAUUGGGUGUUGGACAACUAUAGGCAAAACUGAAAUGGAACAGGGGCAGAAAAUAGCACACUUUAACGCUGCGCAACCGUUGCUUUCUCAUGUGUCCCCCUUUUCCCUGGUGACUCAGACAGUAAAGAAUCUGGCCUGCAAGGCAGAAGACUCAGGUUCCAUCCUUGGGUCAGGAAGAUACUCUGGAGAACAAAAUGGCUACCCGCUCCAGUAGUCUUUCCUGGAGAAUACCAUGGACAGAGGAGCCUGGUGGGCUAUAGACCAUGGGGUUUCAGAGAGUCAGACACAACUGAGUGAUUAAUAAUUUAACAUUCUUUCCUUUGACUCUAAUCAGUAAAGCUAUUAUUAAAAGGAAGUGAUCAUCUUAUUUCAAACAUAUAAUAAUCAAUAAACUUGUGG